GCCGGAGUCGUCUAGUGGCAAUGACAGGAGACUGUAAAUCUCCCGCUUUUAAGCUUCGUAGGUUCGAGUCCUACCUCCGGUACCA
rnacentral:tRNA from 2 species